GACGAACGCUGGCGGCGUGCCUAAUACAUGCAAGUAGAACGCUGAAGAGAGGAGCUUGCUCUUCUUGGAUGAGUUGCGAACGGGUGAGUAACGCGUAGGUAACCUGCCUUGUAGCGGGGGAUAACUAUUGGAAACGAUAGCUAAUACCGCAUAACAAUGGAUGACACAUGUCAUUUAUUUGAAAGGGGCAAUUGCUCCACUACAAGAUGGACCUGCGUUGUAUUAGCUAGUAGGUGAGGUAAUGGCUCACCUAGGCGACGAUACAUAGCCGACCUGAGAGGGUGAUCGGCCACACUGGGACUGAGACACGGCCCAGACUCCUACGGGAGGCAGCAGUAGGGAAUCUUCGGCAAUGGGGGCAACCCUGACCGAGCAACGCCGCGUGAGUGAAGAAGGUUUUCGGAUCGUAAAGCUCUGUUGUAAGUCAAGAACGGGUGUGAGAGUGGAAAGUUCACACUGUGACGGUAGCUUACCAGAAAGGGACGGCUAACUACGUGCCAGCAGCCGCGGUAAUACGUAGGUCCCGAGCGUUGUCCGGAUUUAUUGGGCGUAAAGCGAGCGCAGGUGGUUUAUUAAGUCUGGUGUAAAAGGCAGUGGCUCAACCAUUGUAUGCAUUGGAAACUGGUAGACUUGAGUGCAGGAGAGGAGAGUGGAAUUC
rnacentral:rRNA from 1 species